rnacentral:rRNA from 1 species
UGCCAGCAGCCGCGGUAAGACGAAGGUGGCAACCGUUGUUCGGAAUCACUGGGCAUAAAGAGCACGUAGGCGGGUCUUUAAGUCGGGUGUGAAAUCCCUCGGCCCAACCGAGGAACUGCGCCCGAUACUGAAGGCCUUGAGGGCAGGAGGGGAGUGUAGAAUUCCUGGUGGAGCGGUGAAAUGCGUUGAUAUCAGGAGGAAUACCGGCGGCGAAGGCGACACUCUGGCCUGCUUCUGACGCUGAGGUGCGAAAGCUAGGGGAGCAAACGGGAUUAGAUA